rnacentral:rRNA from 1 species
GCGUGGGGCGGUAACAGGAAUUAGCUUGCUAAUUUGCUGACGAGCGGCGGACGGGUGAGUAAUGCCUGGGAAUAUGCCUUGAUGUGGGGGAUAACUAUUGGAAACGAUAGCUAAUACCGCAUAAUGCCUACGGGCCAAAGAGGGGGAUCUUCGGACCUCUCGCGUCAAGAUUAGCCCAGGUGGGAUUAGCUAGUUGGUGGGGUAACGGCUCACCAAGGCGACGAUCCCUAGCUGGUUUGAGAGGAUGAUCAGCCACACUGGAACUGAGACACGGUCCAGACUCCUACGGGAGGCAGCAGUGGGGAAUAUUGCACAAUGGGGGAAACCCUGAUGCAGCCAUGCCGCGUGUAUGAAGAAGGCCUUCGGGUUGUAAAGUACUUUCAGUUGUGAGGAAGGCGGUAACGUUAAUAGCGUUGCCGUUUGACGUUAGCAACAGAAGAAGCACCGGCUAACUCCGUGCCAGCAGCCGCGGUAAU